GGAAGGGGAAGGGGAAGAACAAGGAGGAGGAGGAGGAGAAGAAGAAGAGGAGGUGGCAGCCGUGAGGCAGAAAUCAAGACUGCUGGAUGGAACUGCUUUGGACAGGAGAAAGGAUCUGGAGAGCCCUGGUUCUGGGGAGCCACCAUGCUCAGGUGUAACGCAUUGAGCUGGGUGAGCUGGGCAGCCUUGGAGUUGAAAGGACCCCAGGAAUCCAGUCCAGGUCCCCUGUGGUGCAAAUGGGGAAACUGAGGUCCGGACAGGGAGAGGACCUCACCCAGCCGGUGGCUGCCAGGUAACGCAUGUCUUUGGUUUUGUCCCUUUAACUCUGUGAGUCUGGGUCUCAGUCUCCUCAUCUGUCAGUUAUAAAUGAUAAUCCCACUACAGUCCCAGGGCAUUGCCGGAGAAGCUGGCGGCGGCGUGGCAGUUGCUGUUCUCUGAAAAGUCCCCACUGUUCCUGCCCUCCCAGCCUUGGUCUUUGCUGGGCCCUGGGGUCCCUUCCUCAGGCUCCUCCCUGCUGAGCCCGCCCCCCGCACAUCCUGGCUUGGGUCCCUGCAGUAAGCCCUGUUCUCACCCCCACCCCCGUCCAGGAACAAGGGCUGGGAUGCUCUCACCAGCGUCAGCUUCUCUCAUGCUGAAAGCUCUGACUCUUGCACCAUGCCCAGGCCAGAGCCCUCACUCAAUGCACUGAAUAACUGAGCACACACAGGCACACCUGGAAUCCUAACCGCUUCCACGGUCCCCUAAAUGCUCAUCCUGAGCCAGAAAGUCUAACUGACUCUUUUGUUGUUCUUUUUUUUUUUUUUGAGACAAGGUCUCGUUCUGUCUCCUAAGCUGGAGUGCAGUGGUGCAAUCAUGGCUCACUGUAGCCUCCAACUCAUAGGCUCAAGAGAUACUCCUACCUUAGCCUCUCAAGUAGCUAGGGCUGCAGAUGUGACCACCGCACCUGGCUAAUUAUUAUAAUAUUAUUAUUGUUAUUAUUUUUUGAGACGGAAUCUUGCUCUGUUGCCCAGGCUGGAGUGCAAUGGCAUGAUGUCCCGGCUCACUACAACCUCCACUUCCCGGGUUCA
rnacentral:lncRNA from 10 species